rnacentral:rRNA from 1 species
UACGAAGGGGGCUAGCGUUGCUCGGAAUCACUGGGCGUAAAGCGCACGUAGGCGGCUCGGUCAGUUCGUGGUGAAAGCGCGGGGCUCAACCCUGCGUCGGCCAUGAAUACUGCCGCGGCUGGAGCACUGUAGAGGCAGGCGGAAUUCCGGGUGUAGCGGUGGAAUGCGUAGAGAUCCGGAAGAACACCGGUGGCGAAGGCGGCAUCCUGGACCAAUUCUGACACUGAGGAGCGAAAGCCAGGGGAGCAAACGGG